rnacentral:tRNA from 1 species
GACCCCAUCGUCUAGAGGCCUAGGACAUCGCCCUUUCACGGCGGUAACAAGGGUUCGACUCCCUUUGGGGUCGCCA